rnacentral:rRNA from 1 species
GAUGAACGCUGGCGGCGUGCCUAAUACAUGCAAGUCGAGCGAACGGACGAGAAGCUUGCUUCUCUGAUGUUAGCGGCGGACGGGUGAGUAACACGUGGAUAACCUACCUAUAAGACUGGGAUAACUUCGGGAAACCGGGGCUAAUACCGGAUAAUAUUUUGAACCGCAUGGUUCAAAAGUGAAAGACGGUCUUGCUGUCACUUAUAGAUGGAUCCGCGCUGCAUUGGCUAGUUGGUAAGGUAACGGCUUACCAAGGCAACGAUGCAUAGCCGACCUGAGAGGGUGAUCGGCCACACUGGAACUGAGACACGGUCCAGACUCCUACGGGAGGCAGCAGUAGGGAAUCUUCCGCAAUGGGCGAAAGCCUGACGGAGCAACGCCGCGUGAGUGAUGAAGGUCUUCGGAUCGUAAAACUCUGUUAUUAGGGAAGAACAUAUGUGUAAGUAACUGUGCACAUCUUGACGGUACCUAAUCAGAAAGCCACGGCUAACUACGUG